UAGAUCUCAAAUCAGGUAGGACUACCCGCUGAACUWAAGCAUAUCARUAAGCGGAGGAA
rnacentral:rRNA from 1 species